rnacentral:rRNA from 1 species
UACGGAGGGGGCUAGCGUUGUUCGGAAUUACUGGGCGUAAAGCGCACGUAGGCGGCUUGGUAAGUUAGAGGUGAAAGCCUGGAGUUCAACUCCAGAAUUGCCUUUAAGACUGCCGAGCUAGCAGGUGAGAGAGGUGAGUGGAAUUCCGAGUGUAGAGGUGAAAUUCGUAGAUAUUCGGAAGAACACCAGUGGCGAAGGCGGCUCACUGGCUCAUACUGGACGCUGAGGUGCGAAAGCGUGGGGAGCAAACAGG